rnacentral:tRNA from 1 species
CCUGGUGGCUCAGAUGGUAAAGAAUCUGCCUCUGAUGCAGGAGACUUGGGUUCAAUUCCCAGGUCAGGA